GGAGUUAGCCGGUGCUUCUUCUGUGAGUGAUGUCCUUCCUGCCGGCUAUUAACCCGCAGGCCUUCUUCCUCACUGAAAGUGCUUUACAACCCGAAGGCCUUCUUCACACACGCGGCAUGGCUGGAUCAGGGUUGCCCCCAUUGUCCAAUAUUCCCCACUGCUGCCUCCCGUAGGAGUCUGGGCCGUGUCUCAGUCCCAGUGUGGCUGAUCAUCCUCUCAGACCAGCUACGGAUCGUCGCCUUGGUGAGCCGUUACCUCACCAACCAGCUAAUCCGACAUAGGCUCAUCCGAUAGCGCGAGGCCCGAAGGUCCCCCGCUUUCCCCCGUAGGGCGUAUGCGGUAUUAGCCUGGGUUUCCCCAGGUUAUCCCCCACUACCGGGCAGAUUCCUAUGCAUUACUCACCCGUCCGCCGCUCGCCACCAGGGAGCAAGCUCCCCGUGCUGCCGCUCGACUUGCAUGUGUUAGGCCUGCCGCCAGCGUUCAAUCUGAGCCAGGAUACAAACUCUGA
rnacentral:rRNA from 1 species